rnacentral:rRNA from 1 species
UACGGAGGAUGCAAGCGUUAUCCGGAAUGAUUGGGCGUAAAGCGUCCGCAGGUGGCAAUGUAAGUCCGCUGUCAAAGCGUCUGGCUCAACCAGAUAAAGGCAGUGGAAACUACAUAGCUAGAGUAAGGUAGGGGUAGAGGGAAUUCCUGGUGUAGCGGUGAAAUGCGUAGAGAUCAGGAAGAACACCGGUGGCGAAAGCGGCAUCCUGGACCGACACUGACGCUGAGGAGCGAAAGCCAGGGGAGCAAACGGG